rnacentral:lncRNA from 1 species
GGAGCUUCCAUCUUCAGCUACAAGGGGCAAUUGGUACCAUUCAAUCUCCAUUCCUAUUCUUAUUUACCAAUUAUUGUCAUUCUUCUACUUCCACACUUGAAGAUGCACGCUUCUUGACAAAUAACUUCAAAUCUGCUUCUUUUACCCGCCUUGAUGAUGCCAUUGCUUCCUUUAAUCAUGUAAUUCAUAUGCAUCCUCUUCCUUCUAGGGCUCAAUUUAGUAGAUUCUUCUCUGCCCUUGUGAAAAUGAAACAAUAUCACACUGUAUUUUCCAUGUCCAAAACAAUUGAAUUGGUAGGAAUCUCCCACGAUGUUUAUUCUCUUAGCAUCUUAAUUAAUUGCUUCUGCCACUUACACCUUGUGGAUUUUGGCUUCUCUGUUUUCGGAAAGAUGUUCAAAUUCGGAUUGGAGCCUACCACUGUGACAUUUACUACCUUAAUCAAUGGGCUUUGUAUAGAGAGUUAAAUGGACAAAGCAGUGGAAUUUUUCGAUGAUAUGGUUGCACGUGGUUAUCAACCUGAUGUUCGUACUUUCACUGUGAUAGNNNNNNNNNNNNNNNNNNNNNNNNNNNNNNNNNNNNNNNNNNNNNNNNNNNNNNNNNNNNNNNNNNNNNNNNNNNNNNNNNNNNNNNNNNNNNNNNNNNNNNNNNNNNNNNNNNNNNNNNNNNNNNNNNNNNNNNNNNNNNNNNNNNNNNNNNNNNNNNNNNNNNNNNNNNNNNNNNNNNNNNNNNNNNNNNNNNNNNNNNNNNNNNNNNNNNNNNNNNNNNNNNNNNNNNNNNNNNNNNNNNNNNNNNNNNNNNNNNNNNNNNNNNNNNNNNNNNNNNNNNNNNNNNNNNNNNNNNNNNNNNNNNNNNNNNNNNNNNNNNNNNNNNNNNNNNNNNNNNNNNNNNNNNNNNNNNNNNNNNNNNNNNNNNNNNNNNNNNNNNNNNNNNNNNNNNNNNNNNNNNNNNNNNNNNNNNNNNNNNNNNNNNNNNNNNNNNNNNNNNNNNNNNNNNNNNNNNNNNNNNNNNNNNNNNNNNNNNNNNNNNNNNNNNNNNNNNNNNNNNNNNNNNNNNNNNNNNNNNNNNNNNNNNNNNNNNNNNNNNNNNNNNNNNNNNNNNNNNNNNNNNNNNNNNNNNNNNNNNNNNNNNNNNNNNNNNNNNNNNNNNNNNNNNNNNNNNNNNNNNNNNNNNNNNNNNNNNNNNNNNNNNNNNNNNNNNNNNNNNNNNNNNNNNNNNNNNNNNNNNNNNNNNNNNNNNNNNNNNNNNNNNNNNNNNNNNNNNNNNNNNNNNNNNNNNNNNNNNNNNNNNNNNNNNNNNNNNNNNNNNNNNNNNNNNNNNNNNNNNNNNNNNNNNNNNNNNNNNNNNNNNNNNNNNNNNNNNNNNNNNNNNNNNNNNNNNNNNNNNNNNNNNNNNNNNNNNNNNNNNNNNNNNNNNNNNNNNNNNNNNNNNNNNNNNNNNNNNNNNNNNNNNNNNNNNNNNNNNNNNNNNNNNNNNNNNNNNNNNNNNNNNNNNNNNNNCACUCACCCUAUUGAAAGAAAUGGAGGAAAGUCAGUUGAAGCCUGAUCUUGUGACCUAUUGCAUUCUGAUCAAUGGUAUGUGCAAAGCUGGCAAGAUUAAUGAUGCCAAGGAACUGUUUUCUAGUCUUUUUGAAAAUGGUUUACAACCUAAUGUUCAUAUAUAUAGUGCAAUUAUGAAAGGACUCUGCUGAUGAUGGACUAAUAGACGAAGCAUAUAAGAUUUUUAGAGACAUGGAAAAGGGAGGAUGUUUACCGAAUAAUUAUUCUUAUAAUAUCAUCAUUCAAGGGUUUCUCAGGCAUGAGGAUUUAUCAAAAGCAUCACAACUAAUCAAUGAAAUGGUUGAUAAGGGGUUCUCUGCUGAUGAUGCUACCACAGAAUUGGUAGUACAUUUAUCGCAGAAUAAUAAUUUCAUUCUAAGGCUUUUAAAGGUGCGCAAUGAGGGAUCAACAAACUAAAGUUGUUAUAUCUUGACCAUUCAAGUGUAUCUUAGAGCGGAACUUGGUAAUUACCUUUUCCAAAUAUAAUAGAUAUGUAAUUUAACUAACUUGAAUCAACUGUGAUUCUCUUCCACAAAAUGAAAAUUUCUAAUACUGCAAAUUACCUGUGGUGGAAGCCAUGGUAUGUGUGUGCCCUUCGCUUGAAUUCAGACAUGGACUAGAUCUCUUUGAUAUAAGAUUGUUGAUGAAUGGAGGUCAUGGAUUUCUAAUCAUUAAGUUGCUGGUAAACCCACCAUCUCCGUUAUAAUUUUUUUUUGCUGCUACUACAGUCUUUACUUGAGAGCUCAGUCCUAAAAUUGAGUUGAGAACUAAAACUAAUUGGUUCUAUACUACAAUGCCUAAGAAUCUUUAUCUAUUUUUAUUUUUGUGCCAAAUGACCUUUCAAAAUGCUAUCAUUUCUCUUGUAGGUACUUGCAAGGAUAUGACUACAACUUCACCUUUCUAACCAUAAAGGUAUAAGUAACUCAUUUUUGCUUAGUUAUUAUAAUUUUUAAUAAUAAUGAAACUAAUGAUUAUAAACCAGUGUGCUUUAAUUGAGAAUUGUUUUAACAAUUAUACUACACUAUAAAUGCAGGGCGCAGGAUAUACAGUCCCAGAAUACAAGGUAAGAGAAUUAGUAGACUUCUACCGCUUUUGGUUGGAUGAAAUGUCACUAAAAUUAUAGACAACGGAAAAUGUCAUGGGAAUUGAGGGGAAAAACAAACAUCCUCUUUGUCAAUAUGGUAUAUAACAGAUAUAUUUUAGUGUUGGACCACCAUUUGAGUUCAUAAAUUGGCUCGUGAAUAGACUCGUGAACAUUCUGGUUAAACAAACUGAAAUUAAUAUCAUAAAGAAAUAAAUUCAACCCCUACAUAUACUUUUGUGAGCCUAAUCCAAAUUUAUUAAAGUUUAGCUCUAUAUAUUUUAAUUACUCUUAAAACUUAUAUAUAUUUGGAUAGUUAAGAACUCAUCUUUUAAAUUUGUGAGUUAAUUUGUAUAUAUAUUUUUUUGGUUAAAAUUAUUUAUUUUUAAAUUUAUUAGUUUUAAAUUAAAACUCAUUAUAUAUGUAAAUAAAUCGAAUAUAGACUAAAUUCGAUAAAAACUCGACUAGUCUAAAUUUAUUUGCUAAACUAACUUAGUUUGAGUUUAUUAAUACUCGAGUUCGAAAUGAGUAAAACUUGAAUUCAUCUUGAGUUCGAAAAAAUUUUAAUGAACUAAACUUGAACUCUUCAAAAUUCGGUUAUAUUCGGCUCAUCUACACUCCAAAGUAAAUUUUAAAAAGUGAUUAAAUUACUAAUGAAUUCUAAAUUCAUUGGUAAUUGGCCCAAAAAAUUACUAACUAAUUUGAAAAUUCAUUACUAAACUUUAUCAUCAAAUUAAUAAGUAAAAAAAGUGUUAAAUUUAUCAAUUGAAGCUUUACGCUGGAAAAUCCGUUGGAUAAAAUUAAAAUAAAAUUUCAUAAAAUUUCCACGUUUUUUUACUACUCAUAUUUUUUCCGUUAUUAAUGGAUUUAAUAACAUAUUUUAAAUUCAUUAAUUUUUAAAAAGAGAAAAGACUUUUUUUUUUCUAAAUUUAAUAAUAAAUUAUAAAUUCAUUAGUAAUUCGCGGUUAUAAAUAUUAGACCGGUUCUUCUGGUUUUAUCAUUUAUUUAUCUUAUUAUUUUCUUCUCUUCCAUUUUCCUUCCUCCUCUCAUUAUCAUUUUCCUCCCUUCCUUUCUCUCAUUUUCUUUUUUUUCUAUUACUUUAUUCAGUAUUUCACUCUUUUAUUGCAUAAUUUUUUUUUAUUUUUUCUAUUAUUUUCCUUUCAUCUCUUAUCCUAUUUUCUCUCAUUCUCUUUCCUCUUUUAUUAUUUACUUCCUUCUUCAUAAUUUCCUUUCAUUUUCUCCAUUUUUUCUAUUUGGUUCUUUUAUUUUCUCCCAUUUUCUUUAUUUUCUCUAUAAUUUUCAUUCAUAUUAAUUUUUCUAAUAUUAUUUUUUUCUAUCAUUUUUUUCUAUUUAUAUAUUUUUUAUUAUUUUCUCUUUAUUUAUUUUUUUCUCUAAUUAUUUGUUCACUUUUUUUCAUUUAUCUAAUAAUAUUUUUACUCUACUCUCAUUCUUCAUUCUUUUUUUAUAAUUUUUAUUUUCUACCAUUUUCUUUAUUUUUCUCUUUUUUUCUCCUUUUUUUAUUAUUUUCUCCCAUUUUAUACCAUUUACUUCUCUUAUUUUCACUUUCUAUGUAUUUCUAAUAAAUAUUGGAUACAAAUUUAAAAUUUAGUAAUAAUAAUAAUAUAAUUUUUAAUCUUAUUAAAUUAAUAAACAAUUAUUUAAACUCUCAGUAGAUUUAUUAAAAAAUUGUAAUUUGUUAGUAAUUUAUUAAUGAAUUUCAUGUCUAUUAGUAAAUUAUUUUUCUUUUAAUGUAUUAAUACAUUUAAAAUCUGUUAAUAAUAAUAAUGAAAAUUUUAUUAGUAAAUUCAUUAUUAUUAUUAAUAUACUUGAAAACUGGUGUUAAAAAUUUACUAUCGAGAUUUUUAAUAAUAGAUCUAAUCCAUUAGUAAUAUGUUGGUAAUUCAUUUAUCAGUGAAUUUUUUAUUGAUUACCAUUGAAAAAUUCAUUAAUAAUCUAUAAAUUUUUUUAGUAUUUUUAAAAAUAAAAAUAAAAAUACUAUUUUUAAAUUUAGAUUUUAAGAACUUUUAGUUGAAUAAAUGAAAAUUUAAAACUUUUUGCGACUAUAAUAUUAUCCAUAUUAAUGAACUAGCUAAAUUUUUUUUAGUUUAAUUUAUUCACUAAAAAUAUAGAUAAUAUGUUUAUCACAAUAUAUCAAAAAAUUAAAAAUACAUAUAUGAUUAUUAUUUUAAUAUACGCCGCAGAACCUCCUCUCCGCCUCUUGCAACGCUUCGGACUACCAGGGGAACCUCAGUGACACCGUCGACCAUUUCAGAGCUGCUAUGGAGCCAAUCGAUUCAACAAGCGAGAAAUUCAUGGCCAAGGCGCCCAUUCUUGACUCGAAGACACAAAAUCACAGCUGCUCCUCACCUAAGAUUUGCAUUGGUUGCAACCUCCAGGUAUAAAUUUUGGUUUAUUGGGGUUUGAUCCGAUGAAAUUUCUAUUUCUCUAGGUUGUUUAGAUGUAUAUAAUCUUGUAUUAAGUACUUCCAUUGAUUGAUUCAGUUGAGAUGCUUGUGUUUGGAUGUUACAUAGUUUGAAGCAAUUCGUAUGACCUCCUCAAUUUUACCUGUGAGAGCUGCUAGGAGUUUUAUUUCCUUGAAAAUUGAUUAGUUCCUCAAGACCUCUAAAGAUUGUAUAUAAAUGGAAAGUUGGCAACACUCUCAAGAAGCUCCAGGAUUGCAAGCUUUAUUAUCCUUCUUUCUAGGUUCAUCCCUUCAGAAUCUCACAGAAAUUACUUAGCAUUUUGUCUUUUCAAAUUAGUUGUUUAUUUUUACUUUACUAAAAAUUAUUUUUUCUGCAAUUUGCAUGAUCUAAUUCUAUGAUCUAAUUCUAUGGAGCAGGUGUUACUUUCUCAUUUAUUAGAAUUUACUUUUAUACCAUUACUAUCCCUCAGUAACGGAGCUUAAACUCAUUUUCAAACACUCAUUUUUUUAAUUAUUUUUGAAAUUUGAAAUUUGAUGUUUAUUUUCUUUAUAUGCCCAAUUAUAAAUAUAAAUAAUUGUAUAUUUUGUUGUCCUAUAUUAUGUAAGAUUUCUGAAACAUAUUAAGAUUAAGGUUUUGCCAAAUUUUGAUCAGUUUUUUUUAAUUAGUUAAAAUUUAUUGUGAAAUAUUAUUUUUUUCAGUGAAAUUUUUAAUGGUUUUUUAAUUUAAUAGAAAUUUUAACUUUAAUUUCAAUUUUAAAAAAUUAAAAGAAAGCUAGAUACAAAACAUGGUAUGUAGUGUUUAUGCAGUUCAACCACUCAUCCAUCAUUCUUCUCUAUCAACUUCCCAGAAACCAUAACCCAUCCCCGCUCUACACUUUCGACCCAAAAACAAGAUUCCAUUCACCAUUGUCGCAGCCACCUCCUUCAACCCAUCUCCAACACCGUCAGCUCCCAUAGCAGAAAUCAUAAAUAAGAGAUUAUAAAAAAAGAUUUGGUCAAAAUACAAUUCUAAUUCAUAAUAAAAAUUACAUGUACACAACUAAAUUAUUACAUCAGAACUGUAACAGCCCGCAAACCGGACCAUUACCGGCGCUAGAAUUCAGGUCAACCUGAGGCCGUCUGAACCCGUAGCAAGCCUACUAUGAACUCUGUGUACCUGAUAAAUCCCAUACAUGAUCACACAUUUCCAUAAAAAUUUUGAUUUUUCAUUAAAUUAGCUUGACCUGUACAUGAAUCAUAACUAUAAACAUAAAUAGCCUACUAGAGUCCUCAUCAAAUACUCCAGAGGGUCAUAAAACUGUCAAGCUUAAAGGUUAUCAUAAAGAUAAACAUCAUAAGUCAUAAAAUACUGAUCAUGUACAAAGGGAAAUCAACAUAGUCUUAGGGCUAUGCACAAUUUCUAACUGUUUUCAUUACAUCACUUUUAACAUAAACAUAACUAUUACAUUCCUUCUCAAAGUAUUGUACAUGUCCACUUUCUAUACAUAUUCCUAACUUUACCCUGGCUGAUGCUCUGACUUCCUCUGAGGCCCUAAAACACGGGGUUAGGGAGAGGGGUGAGCUACUAGAACCCAGUGAGUAGAAUCACAUAAAACAUUAAAUACAUAUUCUCAAUGAAAUGCAUCACAACUCAAACAAUUCACAUAACGGAUGGACAUGACCUCAAAACUCCCUAAGCUAUUUGCCCGACCACCAUAAAGGGCACCACAGGACUUCGUAAUGCCUGGCCCAGCCAGGUCUUUCCAUAGGGCUAUUGGGUCGCUUGGGUCCAUCCACAUCAUCAUGAUAUCAUAGAUCAACAUUAUGCAAUGCAACAGCUUCGUGGUUACUAGUGCAGUACAUCCUACUAUAAACAUGGUAUUCAUGAUGCAUGAAACAUGCUAAAACAUUUAUUUACUUAAAACAUAGUUUAGUUCUACUCACCUCUAACAAUAGCUGGACUGUCUCUGAAAAUCUAACUCUGAGGGCCUCCUUGGUUCCUUGGGUCCGUACCUACACAGGCGGACUCAAAUGAGGUACCGAACAUACUCUAACAUAGCUAUGAAUAUCUCUCCAAAAACCCCCUAAAACAUCAUAAACAUGCUUGGAAAAAUUGGCAAAGAAAAGCUGAACAGAGGCCUUUCGGCGGCAGGUUCGGCGGCCGAAACCCCCCUCCAGAGACGAAAGUCACCCACCUUCGGCGGCACUUUCGGCGGCCGAACCUUGCCUCCAGAGACGAAAGUCUACUUUCGGGGGCAGGGUUUGGCAGUCGAAACUGCUUCCAUAAGGGGUUCGGCGGCCGAAAGUCCACUUUCGGCGGCCGAACCUGAGUUUCCCCAGAAGGCAGAAACUCGGGCAACUUCCUCUCCACAGCCUCCAAAACCCUCACACAACCUAUCAACAUGCAAGCCAACUUUCCAAACAUGCAACUAACAUCAAACAUGCAUAAAGGAGCUUAAAAACUCAACUUAAACUCCAAUAAACAUAUCAAAUCAUCAUAGAACAUAAUCUUUAACCUAAUACCACAAAACCUAGAUCCAUGCAUAACUAACCUUAAAACUCCCAAAAUCUCUUAAAAACAUGCUUAAACAUAAAGGGGAGAGGAGGAUCCAUGCUUACCUCUUGAAGAACGAGAGGAUCAAUGGUCCAAACUUGGAGAUGGGUGGAAAACCAAAUCAAAACUCCAAGUUGCUCAACUUUGCUUAUUUUGCUCCAAAACUCUAAAACCAAGUUUAAAACAUGUAAAAACAUGCAAGAUUUGAAGAAAACUCAUAUGAACAUACCAAGGGGAAAGAGAGCUAACCUUUGGCUCAAAACAGGGGGUGCAACACCCCUGUUUUCGGCCAAGGAUGGCUUAAAUAGGUGGCCAGCCGCCUCACCUUCGGCAGCCGAACGUGCAUGCGAAACCAUGCAACCUUCGGCGGCCGAAAAUGAGCUUCGGCGGCCGAACCUGGGAAAAUUCCCUUGGCCUUUUUCUUUUCCAAAACUCAACUUUCUUAGCUCAAAACAUUAAAACCAUGAUAAUCAUAUGAGAAAACAUGUAAUUUACCCUUCUAGCAUAACCCGUCAUCUUGUGAAAUUCCUAAUUCCACAGAGAACCCGCCCAAAAGGUACGGAUUCCAAUGCCGGAGUCUAGCCGGGUAUUACAAGAACUAUAUUAAACAACUCUACUAAUCUCCCAACUAAUUUUGACCCUAUAAAUCUAGAAUUAUGAGAAAGAAAUAAACUUAUAAGAGCCUAAUAAGCAGAAAUAUAAUUAUAAAAUAAUUUAAUAAAAUAUAUGACCGUAUAAAUGUUUCACAAUACAGACAAUUCACAUUAAGAUUUGCUAAUUAAGAAAACAUAUUUUGAUUUUUUAGGUUAGUUUUGAAGAUAAGAUAGAGAUGAUGUUCUUGAAUUUUUCAAUUUUAAAAAUUUAAAAAUAUUUUAAUGGAUGACCAUUUAAUAAAGUUAUGUUUCAAUUAUUGAUUUGAAUUUAAUUUGCUUAAAAUGAUAAUAUAUAGGAUAAUUAUACCAAAAUUGAAAGUUAAGGGGCUCGAUUGGACCUAAAAAAUUUUAAAGAACUUAAUUUACUUUUGGUUAAUAAUUAAAGGGUUAAAAUUAGCUUUUUGCCUAAAAGAAAUUGGGCAGGUUUAUUUCCUUAGAAUAGGAGCAGGCAUUCAAAGGGGAAUUACAAUUUAUCACUCCAGCAAUUAUGAAUGGGUAGAAGAUUGUAAAAUUUUAGAGCGACAAACAUGUAGAAUGAAUAUGUGAGAUAGAGAAAUGUACUGACAAGGAGUGUAUUUGAAAUGAAUCAUUGAUUUCAAUAGAUUAAGAGUUUUGUUAUGAGCAAAUAGAAAAGAUAUAGUCUAAACUUUAUUUCUUUUAUGAAAGAUAAUAUUUAUUAGUUUAAUUUUCAAUUUGAGAUGAGUUUUUUAGAAUAGAUCCUAUAUCUUUGAUAAAAAAAAAAAAAAAUCCAACCUCUAAUUUUGAUACAAUGAAGGUUGACGUUGAGAAUUAACUCAAAACUAAUCUAAAAAAUGUCUAUAUAAGUACAAUUCUUAGAGGUGCCUUGGAAAUUCUAGAAUGUAGAGAUAUUAAGUAGAAUAGGUUGCACGAUAGGAAACUGUGAAGAGGGCAGAGUGGGUUAUGCAAGAAUAUUAGUAAAAUGAACUUGUUAAGGGCUGUUAUUUGAAGCUGUUAUUCUAAAAGAUGCCUCCAUUCAUAAAUCACAUGUUGAGAGAAUUGAUGACUACUCUCAUAGUGUAGAAACUUUAGACAUCAUGAAUUUCAGUGUAAGAAAAGAUACAAGAGAUAAAUCUAGCAAUUUAAGAAUAAAAAAUAGAUGUAAAUAAGGGUAACAAUGUUGAAGAGGUGGUAAUCGGUGGCAGGGAAUAUAAAUGAAGUAAAAUGAAAGAGGAGAGUGGUGGGAAGUGGGAAAGGAAAAGAGAAGAUAUAUAGUCUCACAAGAGAAAAUUAUUAAUUAUAUAAUAUUAUAACAGAGAGAUUGGAGAGCAUUUUAGUUUUUUUUUUCUUUAUAUAUAUAUAGUUUAUGCAAAUUGAUUCGAAAAGUUUAACGUUUUAAUCUAAAUUUUUUAAUUUUAGUUUAGUUAGUUUAAUUUUUACAUUCUUAUGUAAUUUUAAUUGACUUAUCAAUUUUUAAAUUUUUGGUAUAUCACAUAAUAUAUUAUUAUUAUAUAAAUUAAUGAUUAAAUUAUCAAAAAACCUAACAUUUACAUUAUUUUGUAUUUUAAUUCAAAUGUUUAAAUUUUGAUUUAAUUGAUCCAAUAUUUAUAUUUGAUUGUAAUUUUAAUUAAUUUUAAAAAUCAAAAUAUAAGAAUUCGAAUAUCAAAUGUAAUAUUUUAUUAUCUUUUAAAUAUAAACUAAUUCAAAUAAUAUUAAUUCACAUUUAAUUAUAGUUAAAUUAUAUAUUUUAUUUUAAAGUUAAUAAUAAUUUAAUAAUUAAAUAGGCUGUCUAUAUGGAUAAAUUUUAUUUUGCAUUCAUAAUUAUGAAGAAUUUAUAAUAGAUAUAUUAUUUUUAAUUAUUUUAUAUAUAUUGUUAUUUAAAUUAAAUAAUAUAUUUAUUUAAAAUUUAAACUUUUAAAUUAAAAUGUGAUGAUAUAAAUAUUAGAUUUUUUUAAUUAAUUAAUCAAUUAAAAAAUUAUAAUAAUACACGUGCCGAUUAAAUAAUUAAAUUUAAAAAUUUACAGAUGGAAUAAAAUUACAUUAAAAAUUGUAAAAAUUGAGUUAAUUAAAUUAAAAUUAAAAUAUAAAUACCUGUAAAUGUUAAAUAUUUUUAAGUCAAUUAACCUAUAAUUUAUUUUAUACAUGUCUAUAAAUAAUUAAGAAUCUAUUUAUUAUUUAAAUUGUCAAAACUACAUUUGCAUAGAUUUAAUAAUUAUAUAGUUAUUUUAUUUUAUUAUUAUUUAAAAUAUUUAAUUUGAUUAGUUAGUUAUAUUAUUUUCUAUUUAAAUUAAAUUUAAAAUUUCUUAUAAUCUAAUAUAAAAAACUAACUAAAAUUUAAAACUUCCAUUUAAAAGAUCAUCAAAAGUAUGAAUAUUUUUAAUAGUGAAUAUUUGAGUUUGUCGCUAAAAUUUAUAUAUUAUAAAUUUACAUUAAUAUUAUUAAUAAUAAAAUAAAUAACAAAUAAAAUUUAAAAUGCAAAAUAUAUUUAGUGAAUUUAACAUUUCAAAAUUUUAUUAUUUUGCAAUAAUUUAUAUUAAUUUUUUAUGAUAUUAAUUAAAUUUGUAAUAUUAUUCAAAUAAAAUGUUAAAAUAAAAAUGUGCUAAACAGUUCUCAUGAGAGUUAGAGUUAAGCUUUGUAAAAAAAUUAAUUUUUAUUAGACUAAAAUAAAGUAAUUAAUAAUAAAAAAAUUAUAUAAAGUUAGUCAUUUUAAAUUUCUAAUUAUAUUAGAGUAAAAUUAAACAAUAAACUUUUUUUUCUCAUCUAUAUUAUACACAAUUAGACUAUAAUAAUAUUUUAAAAAAUGUAUAUUGCUAAUUAUUUAUUAAAUAAGGAAUAUUGUUUAAUAAAAUAAAAAUCAAUAUUCUACAAUUAUAUUAAUAAAUUUUAUUUAAAAAAAUAAAAUUAACAAAAUUAAUUAAUUUUUAACUAAAUUUAAUUAAAUAUAAAGUAAUGUUAUAAUAAUUUAAUAUUAUUAUUAAAUUUGGAUCAGGCCUAACUCACUCCAAAAGCUAGCUCAAGAGGGAGGAUUGUCUAUGACCCUUAUAAGGGGCACAUUAUCCUUUUCCACAACCGAUGUGGGAUUCUACAACCGAUGUGGGAUUCUACAACCGAUGUGGGAUUCAACACACCCCUCUCACGCCCAGAAUUUUACUGGUGCGUGACACAUUUAUAGGAGGCCCAAUAUCGAAUGGGGAGGCUCUGAUACCAUAUUAAAUUUGAAUCAGGCCUAACUCACCCCAAAAGGUAGCUCAAGGGAAAGAAUUGCCUAUUAUUCAUAUAAGGGGCACAUUACCCCUUUCCACAAUUGACGUGGGAUUCAACAAUUAUAAUAAUAUAAAAGAAAAUUUAUUUAGUUAUUCAAAAUGAAUUUAAUACAAUAUUGUAUACAAAAUUAAUAUAAAAAUUUAUUUAGUUAUUCAAAAUGAAUUUAAUACAAUAUUGUAUACAAAAUUAAUAUAUAUACAAUAUUAACGUACACAAUAUCUGGAAAUAUGAAGUUAAAAAAAAUUAUGAAAAAUAAAUUUAAAUUUUUUUAAAAUUUUAGGCUAAUUAAACUAUAUAAUUUUAUUAAAGGCUAAAUAGAUUCUAACUUAAUAUUAUUUUUAUAAUUUAAAACAUUAAAAAAUUUUAUAUUUUAAUUAUUAUAAAAUUUUUUAAAAAUAUAUAAAUAUAAUAAAUAAUUUUUAUAAUUAUAAAAAUAAAUUUUUAUUAUAUAAAAAUUAUUUUUAUUAUUAAAAAAUAAUAUUAUAUUAUUAAAAAAAUUAUAUUACGUUAGAUUAUGACUUAUUUGAUUCUUAGCAAUAAUAUAUAGACUUAAUUGAUUCAAAAUUUUGAAUUAAGAUUAUUUGACUCUUAAAAAAAGGUAGAGGCUUUACCAGCUGGCAGAGAGCCUUCUUUUUCCGAUUCUCUAUUUCCUUUCCUCAUUCCCAAUCUCCGAUCCAUCCCUAAAAACAACUGACGAGAGAUCGAUGAUGAUGAAGAUGCCUUGGAGGAGGAAGAGCAGGAGCUUCCAUCUUCAGCUACAAGGGGCAAUUGGUACCAUUCAAUCUCCAUUCCUAUUCUUAUUUACCAAUUAUUGCCAUUCUUCUACUUCCACACUUCAAGAUGCACGCUUCUUGACAAAUAAUUUCAAAUCUGCUUCUUUUACCCACCUUGAUGAUGCCAUUGCUUCCUUCAAUCAUGUAAUUCAUAAGCAUCCUCUGCCUUCUAGGAUUCCAUUUAAUAGAUUCUUAUCUGCCCUUGUGAAAAUGAAACAAUAUCACACUGUCCUUUCCAUGUCCAAAACAAUUGAAUUGCUAGGAAUCACUCACGAUGUUUAUUCUCUUAACAUCUUAAUUAAUUGCUUCUGCCGUUUACAUCUUGUGGAUUUUGGCUUCUCUGUUUUCGGAAAGAUGUUCAAAUUCGGAUUGGAGCCUACCACUGUGACAUUUACUACCUUAAUUAAUGGGCUUUGUAUAGAGAGUAAAAUGGACAAAGCAGUGGAAUUUUUCGAUGAUAUGCUUGCACGUGGUUAUCAACCUAAUGUUUAUACUUUCAAUGUGAUAGUAAAGGGAUUGUGUAAAUUUGGGAAAACAAAUCUGGCUAUUGAGCUACUAAAGGAAAUGGCUGAUAGAGGUUGUGAGCCAGAUGUGACAUACAAUGCAAUCAUUGACACACUUUGCAAAGAUGAGCUAGUUGGUGAGGCUUUAGAGCUCUUCUCUCAAAUGAGGAAUAAGGGCAUUUCACCUAAUGUCAUCACUUACACUAGUUUAAUUCAUGGUGCUUGCAAAUUAGGCCAAAAGAACCAAGCUUUGGCCUUGAUGAAUGAAAUGGUGGAGCAGAACAUAUUACCAAAUGUUUAUACCUUCAGUGUAUUGAUUGAUGCUCUUUGUAAGGAUGGAAUGGUUUCAGAGGCUCAAAAUACAUUCAAUGUAAUGAUUCAAAGAGGUGUAGAGCCUGAUGUGGUCACCUACAAUUCCUUAAUUGAUGGUCUUUGCAUUUCAGACCAAUUCCAGGAAGCUUUGGCCUUGUUGAAAGAAAUGGUGGGGAGGAACAUAUCCCCUGAUGUUUUUACCUUCAAUAUAUUGAUCGACACUCUUUGUAAGAAAGGACUGGUUUCAAAUGCACAGAAUAUAAUCAAGAUAAUGAUUCAAAGAGGUGUGGAACCUGAUGUUGUCAAUUAUAAUUCGUUGAUGGAUGGAUAUUGUCUGCGCAAGCAAAUUGAUAAGGCUAGAAAGCUAUUUGAUCUGAUGGUGACAAAUGAAAUAGCUAACAUUUUUAGUUACAACAUUUUGAUCAAUGGAUAUUGUAAGUGCAAAAUGAUAGAUGAUGCAAAGGAUAUUUUUGUUGAAAUGUCUCAUAAAGGUUUAGUUCCUGGUGUUGUUACUUAUUCUACUCUUAUAGAGGGUAUGUUUCAAGCAGGGAGGCCCCAAACUGCACAGGAGCUCUUUAAGAAUAUGUGCUCUCACGGUCAACAGCCAAAUAUAGUAACCUUCUCAAUUAUGAUUAAUGGCUUGUGUAGUCAGGGGAAUCUCGAUGAAGCACUCACCCUAUUGAAAAAAAUGGAGGAAAGUCAGUUAAAGCCUAAUCUUGUGACCUAUUGCAUUCUGAUCAAUGGUAUGUGCAAAGCUGGCAAGAUUAAUGAUGCCAAGGAACUGUUUUCUAGUCUUUUUGAAAAUGAUUUACAACCUAAUGUUCAUAAAUAUAGUGCAAUUAUGAAAGGACUCUGCCGAGAAGGAUUAAUAGUCGAAGCAUAUAAGAUUUUUAGAGACAUGGAAAAGGGAGGAUGUUUACCGAAUAGUUGUUGUUAUAAUAUCAUCAUUCAAGGGUUUCUCAAGCAUGAGGAUUUACCAAAAGCAUCAGAACUAAUCAAUGAAAUGGUUGACAAGGGAUUCUCUGCCGAUGCUACUACCACCGAAUUGGUAGUACGUUUAUUGUGCAAUGAUGAUCUCAUUCUGAGGCUUUUAAAGGUGCGCAAUGAGGGAUCAGCAAACUAAACUUGUUAUAUCUUGACCGAAUGUGUGUCUUGGAGCGCAACUUGGUAAUUACCUUUUUCAAAUGUAAUAGAUAUGUAAUUUAACUAACUUCUUCAAAUAUCAUUUUUAAUUUCAAUCAGCUGUGAUUCUCUUCCACAAAAUGAUAAUUUCUAACACUGCAAAUGACCUGUGGUGGAAACCAUGAUAUGUGUGUGCCUUUCGCUUGAAUUCAGACAUGGACUUGAUCUCUUUGAUAUAAGAUUGUUGAUGAAUGGAGGUCAUGGAUUUCUAAUGAUCAAGUUGCUGGUAAACCCACCAUCUCCUUUACAAUUUUUUUUGGUUGCUACUACAGCCUUAACUCGAGAGCUCAGUCCUAAAAUUGAGUUGAGAACUAAAACUAAUUGGUUCCAUACUACAAUGCUUAAGAAUCUUUAUCUAUUUUUAUUUUUGUGCUCAAUGACCUUUUAAAAUGCUAUCAUUUCUCUUGUAGGUACUUGCAACGAUAUGAUUACAACUUCACCUUUCUAACAAUAAAGGUAUAAGCAAUUCAUUUUUGCUUAGUUAUUGUAAUUUUUAAUAAUAAUGAAACUAAUGAUUAUAAACCAGUGUGCUUUAAUUGAGAAUUGAUUUAACAAUUAGACUACACUAUAAAUGCAGGGUGCAGGAUAGACAGUCCCAGAGUACAAGGUAAGAGAAUCACCAGACUUCUAUAGCUGUUGGUUGGAUGAAAUGUCACUAAAAUUACACACAACAGAAAAUGUUAUGGGAAUUGAGGGAAAAGCAAAAGAAGAGGAUGAAAAUCAGACAUAUGCAGCCACUAAGACAAGCAACUGCAAUUGGUCCUACUAGCGAUUGGAAUGCUAGUUUAGCUUCAGUUAUUUAACAGGACUUUUUGUCCAAAUUUAUUUAUGAACAAGUUCAUAAAAGGCAGGUUAGCUCUAUAUAUAACACAGGUAUAAUCAAAGAAGGUGGCAGGAAAAAAGGCAGGAAAAAUGUCAAUGCAAAGAAACUUCAUCUGAUUAAAUGGAAUACUCUUUCGUUGCCUAAAAAGAAAGGUGGCUUAGGCAUGAAAGAGAUCUCUCUUCAAAUUCAAGCUCUUUUGUUCAAAUGGCUUUGCAGAUUUGAAAAUCAUAGGGGUUCACUAAGUUCAACUUCUUCUAUCCAAAUAUUCUUUCAAUUUGGAGAAGGGUAUCUCUCUUGCUCCAGGAAAUUGCAUUUCUUCCCUCCAGAAAGACAUUCCAGCUAAUUAAAUUAUUAAUAAGUAAAAAAAUUAAAUUAUUAAUAAAUCUUUAUUUUUAUUAAAAUUAACUGUUUAAUCUCUAUUUCUAAAUCGCUCAAUUAAAACAUUUUGAAUUUUAUAAAGUCAAACUCUUCAAUAUUUUUAUCGAAUAAAAUAUUAGUAAAUAUAUUUUUAAUUUUAAUUAGAAAAAUUAAAUUAUAUAUAUAAAAUUAAAAAAUAAAAAAAAAAUAUUUAAUCAAAUAACAUAGAAAUAAAAAAAAUUAAACAGUCCAUUUUAAUAAAAUAUAAAAAUCAAAUAAUAAUCCGCUCUUUUAUAGUUUAAAGUAAUUUUUUGGAUACUUCAUAGCAAAUUCUCAAUAAUUUUACCAAUUAUAUCUACCAUUUAUAUACGUCUUUUUUCAAGUUUUAUUUUUUUUUCUAUUCAUGCAUUGCAUUGAUUUUUAUUUCUUAUGAGAAUUGCUGGCAAAAUAAUAUUGUAUUGUAGGAUGCUUUAUGAACGGUAGAUGUUAAAAAUAUAAAAUAAAAACUAGUUUAUUAAUUGUUGAUAAGCCUAUGUACCAAUAAGCAAAUUAAUUUCUUAAUUCACUUUCUACACGCUUGCACUCAUAAAUAUUGGGGUGAGCAGUCGAUCGAAUCGAAUUAAUUUAAAAAUUCGGUUCAGUUUUUUAUUUAUUUUGAUUCGGUUCGAUUUUUAAUUUUAGAAAUUUCAGUUGUUUCGGUUCAGUUCGAUUUUGAUCAGAAAAAAAUCGAAAAAACUGAACCGAAUCGAUUAGUGAUAAUAAUAUAUUUUUUUCAAUAAUAUAAAAAAAUUAAAUCAUAUUAAGAUUAAAAUAUUUUAAUUAAAUUUUAAAAUACUAAAAAUAAAGUGAAAAAAAUAAAAAAUUUAUUAAAAAUCAAAACCGAUUAAAUCGAACUGAAUCAAAUCGAUUUAAUUCGUUUAGUUUCUGACUAAAAUAAAUUCGGUUUGAUUUUUAUAAAAACUAAAAAUUUCAAUUUUCAAUUUAUUCGAUUCAGUUCAAUUUUAAACCGAACUGACCGAAUGCUCAUCUCUACAUAUAUGUAUACUUGCUAUUCGUUUUACACUAAACCCUUGAAAAAAAUUAAUAUAAAAAUAUACUCACAAAUUUAGUCUAGUGGUAAUUACAUCUAAGUAAAUAUGAUGAGUGAUGUCAGAUCCUACUUUCUCAAUCUUUAAUUCUUAUUUCAAAAAAAAUUAAUAUAGAAAUUAAGACUUUAUUUAUUUUAUAAAAAAUAUUUUAUAAAAAUAUUACUCUAUAAGAAAUAUAGUUUAAUAAUAAAAAAAUUAUUAAUUUAAGGUGCUGACUUCAUAUUUUUUAUUUUUUAUUUUUUCAAAAAUUAAUUAUAUAAAAAUAAGUAUAAAUUUUUAUAUAAUGGUAAGAAAUAAUAUAAUUUUUUUUAAAAUAUGAUAUUUAAUAGUAAAAUAAUAGUAUAAAUAAUUUUAUAAAUGACUAUAUAUAAAAAUAUUAAUAAAUUAUCUUUACACAGUAUAUAAUGUUAUAAUAAAAAAUUAUUAUUCGAUAAUUGUCAUAUAAAAAAUUUAUUAGUUAAUUUUUUAAUUUUAAAAAAUACAUUAAAAGUUUAUGAAAUUUUAAAAAGUCUACCGAUGAGUCCUUACGUUAAUUUUAGCCGCUAAGUAUUAUAAAAAUAAAAAGUACUAUUUAAUCUUUAUAAUAUAAGAAAACUCACAAAUUAAUUUAUUGAUUUUGAAAAAUAUAUUAAGAUAUUUCUAAUUUUAAAAAAUUCACUCAUUAAUCUCUUCAUUAAUUUUAGUUGUUUAGUUUUAUAAAAAAAAAAUUUAAUGUUUUAAUAUGAAAGAACUAAUUAGUAAAUAUUUUUAUAAAAUUGAGAGAUCAACUAAUAAAUUUUCUCUUACUACAUAAAUUAAAUAGUAAAAUAUUUAAUAGGUGAAAUUAAUAAAAUAAUUAAUUAAUAUAUUUUUAGUAUUUUAUGGAUGCUUUAAUGUUUUUUUUUUAAAAUAAAGUGACUAACUAAUUUAUUCUUCUAUAUCAUAAAGAUUAAAUAAUAAAUUUUACUUAUAAAAAGAUUUAAAAUAUCUUCAAUAUGAAUGUACUAAUUAAUAGGUAUUUUUAUAAAAUUAAAAAAUUAAUUAAUAAAUUUUUAAUAUUACAGAAAUUAAAUAAUAAAAUAUUUAAUAAUUAAAAUUAAUAAAAUGACUAAUUAAUAUAUUUUUUAAAAUUUAAAGGAUUUUUUAUUUUAUUUUUUAAAAUUAAAAAUCAAUUAAAAAUUUUUUAUAUUACAAUAAUUAAAUAAUAAAUUUUCCUUAUGAUAAUAAAAUAAAAAUAUAUUUUAUAAAUUAAUUAAUUAAAUAUUUAUUUAAUAAUAUGAAUUUAACUGAUGAGAUAAAAUUUUAAAAUUUUUAACGUAAUUUAAUAAAAAUUAUUAAAAAAAGGAAGCGCAAUGAUAACAAAUAUAUUUUUAAUUUUUUUUUUGUUAAUGAUACAUAUAUAACUAUUAAUAAUAUAAGUUAUUAAAAUAAAAAUAAAUAUUUUUUUUAAAUUUCAUAUCAAAAAAAAUAUCACCUAAAACUACUAUAAAUUAAUAAGUAAUAUAAUUUAUAAACCAUAUAAAUUUACUAUAAGUACAAAUUGAACUUCUCAUUUUUACUGAAAAUAUUAUAUAUUUAAUUAUUAUUAAUAUUUAAUUAUUUUUAAUUAUUAUUAUAUUUUAAAUUUAUUAUACAAGAAAGUAAUAAUUCUUUAUUUAAAUUAUAACAACAACUUUUAUUGUUAUUAAAAUUUUUUAUCAUCAUAUUAAUUAUUAUUAAAAAAAUAAAUUUAUUGUCAUUAUUAUCGAUUUAAUAAUUAAUUAUAGUGUGUCGUAAUUUUUAAUGAUAAAACUUUUCAUGACAACUUAACGACCAAAUAAAAUGAUUGUUAAUUAUUUUUAAUAAUUAAUUUUUAAUAUUUAAUGAUAAUUUUAAUGAUAAAACUUUUAAAUUAUAAGUAAAAUAUAUGAAAGUACUUAACUCACUCAAGAAAAUUUUAUCUAUAUUAUACAUGUAUAUCAUAAAAUUAGAAGUAAUAUUUGCUAAUUAAUGAUAAACUAUUAUAUGUAAUGUCAUGUCAUUUCAUAUUUUUUAACGAUAUGUAUUUGUAGGAUUCUAAACUUUAAAAAAGUGCCAUAAUAUAUUUGAAUUAUUUAUAAGGUUUCAUGACAUACCUGAAUUAUUUAUAAGUGAAAUUAAAAUAGUUUUACAAUUUUAAUAUAACAUGAAGCUUUUACGGUAAGAAGAUUUUUUUUUAUUAUUGUAAAAAAUAUAUAGUGAGUUUCAAAUUCAAAAUUUAUGCAUUGUGUAUAAUUUUAUUAUUAUUAAGUAAUUAUUAAAGGUGAAAUUAGAUAAUAAUUUGAUUUUUGUUGUAACGAUCUAAUAAUCAGACCGUUAUUGGUACUAGGGUUCAAAUCGACUUAAGGUCGUCAGGAUUUGUAUCAAGUCUACUAUACAUUCUGCUAUAUCUAAUAAAAUUUCAUAUAUGAUCACAAGAUUUAACAAAAUAUAGACAUUUCAUGAACCAAGACUCGACUUGUAUAUGUAUUAAAAUUGAAAUCAUAAAAUUCAUACUAAAACUCUCAUCAAAUACUUCAGUAUAGUCAACAAAACAUGACUCAAACUCAGUUUAAAUAUAACUCAUAAUUAAAAUUUUUAUAUAAGGAUCAUGCAAAUAAGGAUUUACAAAUACAAAUACUAGGGCAAAACACAAUUCUAAAUCAUCAAAUAAUAUAUGUCCACAUCUAUACUAUUAUAAUAGACUAUACCAGUAAUUCAGUCGUUAUUUAUUUCAUCAUUUUAAUUACGUUAUUUUCUUCUUUAAUCUUUCUUUUUAAAUCAAUUUAUCCAAUAAUAAUUUUUUUAAACUUUUCUUUUAUCCUACCUAUCAUCUAAUUUAAAUGAAGUUAAAGUAUUUAUAGAUACAUUUGUUUACCCUAUCGGCAUAUUUUUUUAAAUUAAGUAAAAGACAAUCAGUUUUGAUUAAUGAAUUCAAUGUCUAUUUGUAUCCAUUGAAUUUUACAAAUGAAUUUUAUAUUUAUUCAGAUAUAUGUUUGUUUAAUUUUAUAAAUAUAUUAUAUAUCUAUUUAUAAAUUAAAUUGUGUUUAUUUAAUUUUAUAGAUGUAUCACUCGGUUUGCGAAUACAUUUAUGUCUAAUGCUAAAUAUGUAAAAAAAAAUCAAUAUAACAAUUCUAUAUUUAAUCUUUAUGUUAAUUUACAUUUCAAUUAAAUAUAUUUAUUUUUUAAUUUCAAUUUAAUACUUAAUGAGUUACAAAACUCACUAUUUUUUUAUAUUAAAUUCCAUUUUAUUAUGAUUUUGAUAUAAAUAAUUAAUUUUUACUUAAUUUGAAGCGAAAAUGAAAAAAAACAAAAAAUACUGUUUUAAAGCUUUUUUUUAUUAUAAGGUACAACCUUAUCUAAAAUUGUGACCCAACUUGGAUGGCUAUAUUGCGGUCUUUCUGGUUGCCAGUAAUAAAGAGUUCAAAACUAUUUUUAAAUAGAUGCAAAUACAAUCAUAUUAAGAUUAAGAUAAGAGUUAUCUAGUAGAUUUAUUUUAUUUUUUCUUUUAAACGGCGAAUAAUUAUUCUUUUAUUUAGGAAAAUCCUAUAUAAAUGCCACUUUAGAAGUAGAUCUCUCAUCUCUUCUCCUCUUGCCCACACCCUCUUUUCAGUUUCUCUUUGGCCGAGCCUCCUUCCCCUUUUCUUUUAUUUUCUGCAAUUUUAUUAUAACCUUUAUAGGCUAAACUCUUUUUUUAGUUGAAGGUUAAUCAAGUUAAUAUUUAAUUAAGUCGUAAGAUUUAGUUCUUAUUUCUAUUCAUCUGAAUUUCUUUUUUCAAUUAAUUUCUAUUUUCGAGUAAUACCAUCUCCAUUACUGUUCUUUAGAAAUUUAAAAGGUUUAUUAAAUCUCUUAGAAAGAAAACAUAUUGCUAAUUAACUCCAAGUAAAUAUGAAAUUAUUUUAUUGUAUUAAUAUAAAUAAUAAUUAGCAUAUUUCUUUAUAUUAAGAAAUUAAUUAAUUUGGUUUAAAUAAUUCAUUUGCUAUUAUCGAUCAAGUUUGAGUUCUUCUCUUCUUAAAACUGUUAAUUAAUUAAAUUUACACGCUUAUGAAAUUAUUAAUUAACUAAAAAAUUAAUUUAAAUGCUAUACAGAUUAAUUUAAUCUUAAGAAAUAAUAGGUGAAAUUUGCUUAUUUAAACACUAUAAUAAAAUAAUAAACAAUCGAGUGAAUAUCUUUUUAAUUAAUGAUGGGUUGCAAAUUUAUUAAUUUUAAUUACUUUCAACUGAAUUUUAAUUUGAUUAUUUAUUUUAUCAUUUUAAUUAUAAUAUUUUAUUUCUUCUUUAGUUUAUUUUUAAAAUCAACUUCUAAUUUUAUUAUUAUCUCUUUUAUUUCAAAUAGUUCUUUUUUUCUCAAUUUUCAUAAAUAUUAAACAAUUUUAAAAUAUAUGUGAAAUCAAUACUUAUUUAACUCCAAAAUUUUUUAAAUUAAAAAAAUUAAUUUUAAAUUGAUAGAUUUGACGAUUGUAAAUAAAUUUUUAAUUUUAAUUUCUAUUCCAUUUAUAUUCAUUUAAAUUAAUCAAUAAAUUUUAAAUUUUAUAAAUUCACCCUCUAAUUUAAACUUUAAUAUUUUUAAACUUAAACUUAUUAUUAAAAUUUUAUCCCAAUCUUUUCAAUUGUAAUUAAAUUUAUUUAUAAAUUAAUUUUUAAUUAAAAACACAUAAAAAAUAAAUAAUGAAAAACUGGAGAAACCUCUAUUUUAAUCAAUUUUUUUUAAUUAGUUAAAUUUUCUUGUGAAAUACUAAUUUUUUUCGUGGUGAAAUUGUUAAUGGUUUUUUAAUUUAAUAGAAAUAUCAAGUAGGUUAAAAAAAUUAUGAAAAUAAAUUUAAUUAAAUCUCUUUUAUUAAGAGUCAAAUAUAUUCAAUUUAAAAUUUUUAAAAUUUUAAGUCAAUUAAAUUAUAUCAUUUUAUUAAGGGCUAAAUAGAUUUUAAUUUAAUAUUAUUUUUUAAUAAUAAAAUAUUAUUUUUAUAAUUUAAAAUAUUAAAAAUUUAAUAUUUAAUUAUUAUAAAAAAUUUUAAAAUAUAUAAACAUAAUAAAUAAUUUCUAAAAUUAUAAAAAAAUUUAUCAUAUAAAAAAUAUUUUUAUUAUUAAAAAUAAUAUUAUCUUAAAUUAUAAUUUAUUUGACUUUUGAGUAAUAGUAUAUAAACUUAAUUGAUUCAAAAUUUUGAAUUAAGAUUAUUUGACUGUAAAGACUUAAUUGGAUUUAUACUUAACAAAUUAUUAUUAUAAAAUAAUAAAUUUAAUUUGUUAUUAAAUAAUAUUUUUAUAUGAAAAAUUAAUUAAAAAAAUUACAAAAUGUGGUGCAUAUAAACAAUUAGUAAUGCAUUUCCUUUUGUUAUCCUUACCACUUUACCAGCUGGCACAGAGCCUUCCUUUUCCGAUUCUCUAUUUCCUUUCCUCAUUCCCAAUCUCCGAUCCAUCCCUAAAAGCAACUGACGAGAGAUCGAUGAUGAUGAAGAUGCCUUGGGAGGAGGAAGAGCAGGAGCUUCCAUCUUCAGCUACAAGGGGCAAUUGGUACCAUUCAAUCUCCAUUCCUAUUCUUAUUUACCAAUUAUUGCCAUUCUUCUACUUCCACACUUGAAGAUGCACGCUUCUUCACAAAUAACUUCAAAUCUGCUUCUUUUACCCGCCUUCAUGAUGCCAUUACUUCCUUUAAUCAUGUAAUUCAUAUGAAUCCUCUGCCUUCUAGGGUUCAUUUUAAUAGAUUCUUAUCUGCCCUCCUGAAAAUGAAUCAAUAUCACACUGUCUUUUCCAUGUCCAAAACAAUUGAAUUGCUAGGAAUCUCACACGAUGUUUAUUCUCUUAGCAUCUUAAUUAAUUGCUUCUGCCACUUACACCUUGUGGAUUUUGGCUUCUCUGUUUUUGGUAAGAUGCUCAAAUUCGGAUUGGAGCCUGACGUUGUGACAUUUACUACCUUAAUUAAUGGGCUUUGUAUAGAGAAUAAAAUGGACAAAGCAGAAUUGAGAGAAUACCUCCAUUCAUAAAUCACAUGUUGAGAGAAUUGAUGACUACUCUCAUAGUGUAGAAACUUUAGACAUCAUGAAUCUCAGUGUAAGAAAAGGCACAAAAGAUAAAUCUAGUAAUUUAAGAAUAAAAGAAUAGAUGGAAAUAAGCGUGACAAUGUUGAAGAGGUGGUAACGGUGGCAGGGAAUAUAAAUGAAGGAAAAUGGAAGAGUAGAGUGGUAGGAAGUGUGAAAGGAAAAGAGAAGAUAUAUAGUCCUACAAGAGAAAAUUAUUAAUUAUAUAAUAUUAUAACAGAGAGAUUGGAGUGCAUUUUAAUUUUUUUUCUUUAUAUAUAUAAUUUAUGUGAAUUGAUUCGAAAAGUUUAACGUUUGUAAUAUUAACAUUUUAAUUUUAAUUUUUUAAUUUUAGUUUAAUUAGUUUAAAUUUUACGUUCUUAUGUAAUUUUAAUUUACUUAUAAUUUUUAAAUUUCUGGUAUAUCACAUAAUUUAUUAUUAUUAUUAUUAUUAUUAUUAUUAUUAUUAUUAAUGAUUAAAUUAUCAAAAAAUUUAACAUUUAUAUUAUUUUGUAUUUUAAUUCAAAUGUUUAAAUUUUAAUUUAAUUAGCCCAAUAUAUAUAUUUGAUUGUAAUUUUAAUCAAUUUUAAAAAUCAAAAUAUAAGAAUUCGAAUAUCAAAUGUAAUAUUUUAUUAUUUUUUAAAUAUAAACUAAUUCAAAUAAUAUUAACUCAAUUUAAUUAUAGUUAAAUUAUAUAUUUAAUUUAAAAAAAUAAUAAUUUAAUGAUCAAAUAGAUCGUUUAUAUUGAUAGAUUUUAUUUUGCAUUGAUAGUUAUGAGAAAUUUAUAAUAAAUAUAUUAUUUUUAAUUAUUUUAUAUAUCCUGUUAUUUUAAAUUAAAUAAUAUAUUUACUAUAAAAUAUUUAUAAUUAUUAUUAUAAAAUAAAAUUUAUCAUAGUAGAAAACGUAAAUUAUAUAUUUAAUAAUUAAAUUAUUUAUUUUAAUUGGUCAAAAUUAUACUCAAACAUAAAUAUUGAAUCAAUUUAUUUAAAAUUUACACAUUUGAAUUAAAAUAUAAUAGUAUAAAUAUUAGAUUUUUUUAAUUAAUUAAUCAAUCAAAAAAUUUAUAAUAAUACACGUGUCAGCUAAAUAAUUAAAUUUAAAAGUUCACAGAUUAGAUAAAAUUACAUUAAAAUGUAAAAAUUGAGUUAAUUAAAUUAAAAUUAAAAAAUUAAAAUAUAAAUAUAAAUACAUGUAAAUAUUAAAUAUUUUUAAGUCAAUUAACCUAUAGUUUAUUUUAUACAUGUCUAUAAAUAAUAGUUUUAAAAUUCAAGAUAUACAAAAUGAUAAAUAAUUAAGAAUCUAUUUAUUAUUUAAAUUGUCAAAACUACAUUUGCAUAGAUUUAAUGAUCUCAUUCUGAGGCUUUUAAAGGUGCGCAAUGAGGAAUCAGCAAACUAAAGUUGUUAUAUCUUGACCAUUUAAGUGUGUCUUGGAGUGCAACUUAAUAAUUACCUUUUUCAAAUAUAAUAGAUAUGUAAUUUAACUAACUUCUUCAAAUAUCAUUUUUAAUUUCAAUCAGCUGUGAUUCUCUUCCAUAAAACGAAAAUUUCUAACACUGCAAAUUACCUGUGGUGGAAACCAUGAUAUGUGUGUGCCUUUCGCUUGAAUUGAGACAUGGACUAGAUCUCUUUGAUAUAAGAUUGUUGAUGAAUGGAGGUCAUGGAUUUCUAAUCAUCAAGUUGCUGGUAAACCCACCAUUUCCAUUACAAUUUUUUUUGCCUGCUACUACAGCCUUUACUCGAGAGCUCAGUUCUAAAUUUGAGUUGAGAACUAAAACUAAUUGGUUCCAUACUACAAUGCCUAAGAAUCUUUAUCUAUUUUUGUUUUUGUGCUCAAUGACCUUUCAAAAUGCUAUCAUUUCUUUUGCAGGUACUUGCAAGGAUAUGACUAUAACUUCACCUUCCUAACCAUAAAGGUAUAAGCAAUUCUUUUUUGCUUAAUUAUUAUAUUUUUAAUAAUAAUGAAAAUAAUGAUUAUAGACCAGUAUGCUUUAAUUGAGAAUUGAUUUAACAAUUAGACUACACUAUAAAUGCAGGGUGCAGGAUAGACAGUCCCAGAGUACAAGGUAAGAGAAUCACUGGACUUCUACAGCUGUUGGUUGGAUGAAAUGUCACUAAAAUUAUAGACAACAGAAAAUGUUAUGGGAAUUGAAGGAAAAGCCAACAUCGUCUUUGUCACCUUUUCUUUUUCUAGUCAUCAAGUUGGGUAUAUAUAUAUAUAUAUAUAUCCUUAAUUUCUUUUAUUUUCCUUCAAGUCAAAUUAGUGAAAUCAUUGCAUUAGCAUCUAAUAAUGUGAAGGUCACAAUCUUUUCCAAUGAAAUCAUUUUUUUAACAUGAAAUUUGAAUUUUAGAAAUGCUUGUGGAAGGUAUAUAUAUAUUCUUCCCUUUGAGAUUCUUUACUUUGUGCCAAGUUGUUUGGAUGUGUAACUGGCGAUUAAAUGUUGAUAGUUAAUAGCAAUAGCUAUCAAAUAAAGCGAGUCCAUUUAAGGAUAUGAUUAAAUCACUUUGCUUGGCGUAAUGCAACUAUUUUGAAACUGCUUUCUAAAUUAACCAAACCUCUAUUGUAUGAUUUGUAUCCUGCUGAAGCCAAGGUACAAGUGUAGUGGUUGAGAAAUCUGCCAUUUUUUUUUAGUUUUUUGUUUGACAGAAAAUCUACCAAUUUAAGUUGUUGAAACUGUUGAAUCUUGUGAUAGUAAAUUAUUCAGAUCCUUCUGCUCUUCAAAACUCAGAUAAUCCAAGUAGGAUUCUCAUAUCUGCACCCUUAAAUUUAGUAAAUUAUUCGACUUGGAGUAUGUCUAUGACUAUGACACUUGCUUUAAAGAAAGAUUUGGGCAACUUAUACACCAAUUAAAGAAAGAAAUAAAUCAAGAAUCUAUAUCAGUUGUUGUUUACUUUAGAAAAUUGAAGAAACUAUGGGAUAAACUUGGUGUUUUAAAGCAUCAUCAAAGAUAUGAGUUUGUUUUUAGUAUAAUUCUAUGUUCAGCCUCCUCAUUCUUAAAAGAAAAGUUAGGAAGUUAGAAAGUUGGGAGUGGAGGAAAGAGUUUCAUAUAGAUUUUGUGACUUUUGGAAAGCUUUUGGGCGUGUUAGAGAUACUUGCUGAUUGGUUUAGAAAUUAUAAGCAAAAGAAGAGGAUGAAAAUCAGACAUAUGCAAGCCACUGAGACAAGCAACUGCAAUUGGUCCUGCUAGCGAUUGGAAUGCUAGUUUAGCUUCAGCUAUUUAACAGGACUUUUUGUCCAAAUUUAUUUAUGAACAAGUUCAUAAUAGGCAGGUUAGCUCUAUAUAUAACACAGCUAUAAUCAAAGAAGGGGGCAGGAAAAAUGUCAAUACAAAGAAACUUCAUCUGAUUAAAUGGAAUACUCUUUUGUUGCCUAAAAAGAAUGGAGGCUUAGGCAUGAAAGAGAUCUCUCUUCAAAUUCACGCUCUUUUGUUCAAAUGGCUUUGGAGAUUUGAAAAUCAUAGGGAUUCACUCUGAGUUCAACUUCUUCUAUCCAAAUAUUCUUUCAAUUUGGAGAAGGGUAUCUCUCUUGCUCCAGGAAAUUGCAUUUCUUCCCUUCAGAAAGACAUUCGAGGCUAUGCUACUUUCGAUGAACUCUUCCUUCUCUCCUUUAAUUCAUAUCAGAUUUGCUGUGGGGAAUGAGAUGAAAAUGAAAUUUUGGAAUGAAAGACGAUCGGUUGGUAAUAUUGCUCUCAAAUUCUCCUUUAGUGGACUAUUAAAUUUAGCAGCUAACCUAGUUGUGUUGAUGUUAAAUAUGGGGUGUUGGGUGAAGAACAAAUGGGAAUGGGAAAUAAUUGAAUUGUCAAAAUUAUACUUGUCAAAAUCUCGAAUGUGAUUGAUCCUGGUAACCUGCAUCCCUUUCUUCUUUCUAUGAUUGAGCGUUUAUAAAUGAGCAAGGUCUGUCUACUAACAGUAACUCAUAUGCAUCCUUUGCCUUGUAGGCUCAAUUUAAUAGAUUCUUAUUUGCCCUUGUGAAAAUGCCACGCAACAAUAUUACGUACUUUGUCAUUUCCUUGUUUAAAACAACUGAAUUGUUGAUAUUUAAUAGAUUCUUAAAUGUUUCUUUUUCCAUUUACACCUUGUGGAUUUUGGCUUCUUUGCUUUUCGGAAAUUUAUAUAUAUAUAUAUAUAUAUAUAUAUAUUUGAAAAAGAUAAAAAUUGAAUACAACUCAAUAGUCUCAAUCAACUCUCCAAGCUGAAACAUGUUAUAUUUCAUUUAAAAGAAUGAAUUGAUCAACUCUUAUUUUUAUAUUUUUGAAAGAAAUAAAAAUUGAGUACAACUGAUAGAGAAGUAGUCUUAACCAACUCUUCAAUUCUUCUGAUAUAAUUUGUUUAAUUGUUCUUCUUCACUGCUUUAAUUUGCAACUUUUUUUAAACCAAUUAAUAAACUAAUUUAUAUAAAUUGAAUCCCAAUUACUCUUCUCCAGUAUAAAAUUUCCUUUCAAGUUCUCUCACUCUCAAACCUUUCAUUAACUUAGAAAAUUUUGAUCAAUAAUGCUAUCGUGGGAAGCUUCUAGCAGGAAAAUGAAUUCUCUUUUCAAGAUUUUAAGUCAAUGUUAUGCAAUCAAAUUAUUACUUUCCAAUUCGACCGAUUAGAAAGCUAAAAUCCUAUAAAUUUAAAGAGGCUAUGUAGCCAUAUAUGUGGGUGACGAAGACAAAAGAUAUCAAGUUUCAGUGGAAAAUCUCAAGUUUUCUGCAUUACAAGAAAAUUGCCUUAGGAUAGUGAUCUCGACUCUAGGAUAGUGAUCUCGACUCCAAAAUUGAUGGCCAAUCGUACUUGCUACUGACAAGUUUGAUGAACUACUGAAACUUGUAAAGGGUUGUCAUAUGAAACUUUAGAGAGUUUUGAAUAAUUUUUUUUUAUAUGUUUAAAUUACUAAUAAAUAUUUUAUUUUAUUAAAAUUAAUUUUUCAAUUUCUAUUUCUAAAUUACUCAAUUAAAAUUUUAAAUCAUUUUAAAUUUUAUAAAGUCAAACUUUUUAAUUUUUUUGCACUCCUAAACUUAGUCUGGUGAUAAGUGCAUCCGAGUAAAUCUGAGAGAUCUAGGUUCGAAUUCUCCGACCCCUAAUUCAAAAAAAAAAAUUAAAUAUUUUUAUCGAAUAAAAUAUUAGUAAAUAUAUUUUUAGCUUUAAUUAGAAAAUUUUAAAUUAUAUAUAAUAUAAAACUUUAUUUUAAUCAAAUGACAAAAUUAAAAAAUUAAACGGUCAAUUUUGACACAAUAUAAAAAUCAAAUAAUAAUCCACUCUUUUAUAUUUUAAAGUAAUUUUUUGGGUACAUUAUGGGAAAUUCUCAAUAAUUUUACCAAUUAUAUCUACCAUUUAUAUGCGUCUUCGAAAAGUUUUAUUUUUUCUAUUUAUGCAUUGAUUUUAUUUCUUAUGAGAAUUUGCCAAUCUCCAAUCCAUCCCUAUUUCCUUUUCCGAUUCUCUAUUUCCUUUCCUCAUUCCCAAUCUCCGAUCCAUCCCUAAAAACAGCUGACGAGAGAUCGAUGAUGAUGAAGAUGCCUUGGAAUAGGAAGAGCAGGAGCUUCCAUCUUCAGCUACAAGGGGCAAUUGGUACCAUUCAAUCUCCAUUCCUAUUCUUAUUUACCAAUUAUUGCCAUUCUUCUACUUACACGCUUGAAGAUGCACGCUUCUUGACAAAUAACUUCAAAUCUGCUUCUUUUACCCACCUUGAUGAUGCCAUUGCUUCCUUCAAUCAUGUAAUUCAUAAGCAUCCUCUGCCUUCUAGGGUUCCAUUUAAUAGAUUCUUAUCUGCCCUUGUGAAAAUGAAACAAUAUCACACUGUCCUUUCCAUGUCCAANNN